UUCGGGUGAGGCAAGCGUUUUUCGGAAUCACUGGGCUUAAAGCGCGUGUAGGCGGUUCGGUAAGUACCUUGUGAAAUCCCUUUUCUCAAUGAAGGAACUGCUUGGUAUACUGCCGGACUGGAGGCAGGUAGGGGUCACUGGAACUCUAGGUGGAGCGGUGAAAUGCGUAGAUAUCUAGAGGAACGCCCGUGGCGAAAGCGGGUGACUGGGCCUGUCCUGACGCUGAGACGCGAAAGCGUGGGUAGCAAACGGG
rnacentral:rRNA from 1 species